rnacentral:rRNA from 1 species
GAUGAACGCUGGCGGCGUGCCUAAUACAUGCAAGUCGAGCGAACAGACGAGGAGCUUGCUCCUCUGACGUUAGCGGCGGACGGGUGAGUAACACGUGGAUAACCUACCUAUAAGACUGGGAUAACUUCGGGAAACCGGAGCUAAUACCGGAUAAUGUAUUGAACCGCAUGGUUCAAUAGUGAAAGACGGUUUUGCUGUCACUUAUAGAUGGAUCCGCGCCGGCAUUAGCUAGUUGGUAAGGUAACGGCUUACCAAGGCAACGAUGCGUAGCCGACCUGAGAGGGUGAUCGGCCACACUGGAACUGAGACACGGUCCAGACGCCUACGGGAGGCAGCAGUAGGGAAUCUUCCGCAAUGGGCGAAAGCCUGACGGAGCAACGCCGCGUGUGUGAUGAAGGUCUUCGGAUCGUAAAACUCUGUUAUUAGGGAAGAACAAAUGUGUAAGUAACUAUGCACGUCUUGACGGUACCUAAUCAGAAAGCCACGGCUAACUACGUGCCAGCCGCCGCCGUAA